rnacentral:rRNA from 1 species
CCUACGGGUGGCAGCAGUGGGGAAUUUUGCGCAAUGGGGGAAACCCUGACGCAGCAACGCCGCGUGGAGGAUGAAGUAUUUCGGUACGUAAACUCCUUUCGAUGGGGAUACGGUACCCAUAGAAGAAGCCCCGGCUAACUUCGUGCCAGCAGCCGCGGUAAUACGAGGGGGGCAAGCGUUGUUCGGAUUUAUUGGGCGUAAAGGGUGCGUAGGCGGUUUGGGAAGUCUCGUGUGAAAUCUAUGGGCUUAACCCAGAGCCUGAACGAGAAACUACCGAGCUUGAUUGAUGGAGAGGUGAGUGGAAUUUCCGGUGUAGCGGUGAAAUGCGUAGAUAUCGGAAGGAACACCUGUGGCGAAAGCGGCUCACUGGCAUAACUGACGCUGAUGCACGAAAGCUAGUGGAGCAAACAGGAUCAGAUACCCUUGUAGUC